rnacentral:tRNA from 3 species
GGAGGGUUAGCCAAGUGGUUUACGGCGCAAGUUUCGAAAACUUGUUCCCUUUUGGGAAACACAGGUUCGAAUCCUGUACCCUCCG